GACGAACGCUGGCGGUGUGCCUAAUACAUGCAAGUUGAGCGCUGAAGGUUGGUACUUGUACCAACUGGAUGAGCAGCGAACGGGUGAGUAACGCGUGGGGAAUCUGCCUUUGAGCGGGGGACAACAUUUGGAAACGAAUGCUAAUACCGCAUAAAAACUUUAAACACAAGUUUUAAGUUUGAAAGAUGCAAUUGCAUCACUCAAAGAUGAUCCCGCGUUGUAUUAGCUAGUUGGUGAGGUAAAGGCUCACCAAGGCGAUGAUACAUAGCCGACCUGAGAGGGUGAUCGGCCACAUUGGGACUGAGACACGGCCCAAACUACUACGGGAGGCAGCAGUAGGGAAGCUUCGGCAAUGGACGAAAGUCUGACCGAGCAACGCCGCGUGAGUGAAGAAGGUUUUCGGAUCGUAAAACUCUGUUGGUAGAGAAGAACGUUGGUGAGAGUGGAAAGCUCAUCAAGUGACGGUAACUACCCAGAAAGGGACGGCUAACUACGUG
rnacentral:rRNA from 1 species